UCACCAGCAACUCCCAGUAAAUUACAUAGUGUCCUGGUAUUGAUUUUGCGUCUGCAUAGCUCGUGUACUCGACCACACUUGUGUUGAAUUCCUGUAGGAGCGCUGAUGCAUUAUCGACAGCCUUUUGCAACUCAGCUUCUCAUCAUCAACCCCAUGAGCAAGCUGUCUCUCGGG